AGUUGUUGAUGCAGCUGAGGAGCUCGAGCACGACACGAUUAACUCAGGAAUUUUAUGUAAUGUUGAUGCAAGGACACUGACUUUUAUCAUCAGAAAGACUUCCUACUGUUGAUGGCAUUAGCAUAAAUCAUAUGAAGGAAGUAGAUUCACAUGCACCCGUGAAGCAGAAGCUACAAUUAUUUCCAAUAAAUGAAGCUACUCUUAAGCCAUUUGAGAAGGUUGAUUUAUUAGACAGCCCUAUUGCCAGACUACCUGACAUAGAGACCACAACACUUGGAGCCACAUAUGUUGCUAGCUUAGAUGCAGGAGUUUGGACCAAGGAACAGGAAUUUGCAGGUUAGCACAAGGAGAACGUGACAAUCUUUCGCCCAAAACUGGAUGAGGCGCACAAGAAGAGGGUUGAUUCAUGGUACAAGACGGUUUCAAGUACAUUCGAUUUGGCUGACCUUUCUCUGUAAAUGUUUCUUGUCGGCGCUGAUCUAUCUGUUUUUGGAAGAUGCAAAUGAAUAAAUUGGUCUUUGCUGGUACUAUUCUUAACUACUUGUUAUUUACGGUCUUUACAAAAGCGAGUACAAGAAUAUCCUCAAA